rnacentral:rRNA from 1 species
GCGGUAAGGCCCUUCGGGGUACACGAGCGGCGAACGGGUGAGUAACACGUGGGUGAUCUGCCUCGUACUCUGGGAUAAGCCUGGGAAACUGGGUCUAAUACCGGAUAUGACCACAUGUCGCAUGGUGUGUGGUGGAAAGAUUUAUCGGUGCGAGAUGGGCCCGCGGCCUAUCAGCUUGUUGGUGGGGUAAACGGCCUACCAAGGCGACGACGGGUAGCCGACCUGAGAGGGUGAUCGGCCACACUGGGACUGAGACACGGCCCAGACUCCUACGGGAGGCAGCAGUGGGGAAUAUUGCACAAUGGGCGGAAGCCUGAUGCAGCGACGCCGCGUGCGGGAUGACGGCCUUCGGGUUGUAAACCGCUUUCGACUCCGACGAAGCGCAAGUGACGGUAGGAGUAGAAGAAGCACCGGCCAACUACGUGCCAGCAGCCGCGGUAAUACGUAGGGUGCGAGCGUUGUCCGGAAUUACUGGGCGUAAAGAGCUUGUAGGCGGUCUGUCGCGUCUUCUGUGAAAAUUCACAGCUCAACUGUGAACCUGCAGGGGAUACGGGCAGACUAGAGUACUUCAGGGGAGACUGGAAUUCCUGGUGUAGCGGUGAAAUGCGCAGAUAUCAGGAGGAACACCGGUGGCGAAGGCGGGUCUCUGGGAAGUAACUGACGCUGAGAAGCGAAAGCGUGGGUAGCGAACAGGAUUAGAUACCCUGGUAGUCCACGCCGUAAACGGUGGGUACUAGGUGUGGGUUUCCUUCCACGGGAUCCGUGCCGUAGCUAACGCAUUAAGUA